AGUGGGGCAGCUUGUUUGCUUUUGCUCAAUUUGCAACCAGAUCCAGAAUUCACUCUGCUAUUUCUCAAGAGUCUGACCUGCAUCAACAGCCUCCCUUAUUCUGUGAUCCCAGUUUUGGAGAUCAAGGACAAGUUCAUUCUGGGUUGGCCGUGUCCAACUACUUUAAGCCAGCUACAUCCCCACCGGAAGCCAGGCUCUUGCCAACAGCUGUCUCCACAUUCCUCUUUCUAUGUCUGUUAUUUGUCUCUAGGUUCUGGUAACUACUUCCUCCUUUUGCCCCUUCUGGCCUAGGAUACCACCAAUCCCUCCUCCCAAUCAUGCUUUCACUAGCCUCAAAGUACUUGUAGCUUCCUCCCUUUACCUUCACCUUAAUAAAUUAUCCCCCUACUAUCUCUCUUCAAAGCACCUAAUUUGAGUGUGCCAUCUGUUUCUUGCCAGGAUCCUGGUUGAUACAUCAACCAAGCUGCAUAGCUGGAGGAGUACUGUGCUGAACUUUAGGACUGAAGCCACAGGGCCCUCACUGCCCACAUAGUCACCUUGGUCAUCUCCUGCUUCCCUGAAAGACUGAGUUCAGUUGGUUCAGGUACAUGCAUAUCCAGACAUGC
rnacentral:lncRNA from 1 species